AAAGCUGCAACAAACACUGCCCGCCACUGUCAUAACCACCGUGAACCAUCGUCGGCUUCCUCUCCACUGCCACCAACAUCACUGUGAGCGUCAGCAGGUCAGCCUUCCUCCCCUUCCCCAUUUCCUUCUUUUCUUCACUGCACCGUCUCCACUGUUCUACAUGAACAGUGGAGAGUGAAUUAAUUCAAAAUUAAUAUAAUAUUAAAGGAUAAAUUUGAAUAAAAAAAAUCUAUAAAAAAAUUAAUCAAAAGAUAGAAAAAAAAAUUAUCUCCUUCACUAUUGAUAUUUACAUGAACAAUAUUUAUAUUUACAUAAAGAAAGUUCUUUUAGUAGAGUUGCUAGAGUAGAUAGUGAAUACAUUAAUUCAAAAAAUUAAAAUAACACAUUAAAAUAAGCAUAAACAGUAAAAAAAUUGUUUCGGGGUUUAAUCACAAAAAAUUUCAUUAUUGAAAGGAGGGAGAAAUCAUUUGGGAAGCAGCUGCUCAGCCCAUAGAAUCACACAAACAAGCCCCCAAGACAUCUAAGCAUUCAAGCUAAAGCUAAAUAAAAGAGCAGGAAAACUGAAACCCUAUUAUUCAUUGGGCUACAACAUGCUCGACCUCUCCUACUUGUACUGGAAGGAGAAAUUACUGAUAUAGUGAUAUUGGUGUCAAUUUCAAGCUGUAAUACAAACUAGUCAGAUUCAGAAUCCAAGUACAUUCUAUAAGCAUUUCUGUCUGAAGAGUAAUAACCUUCUACCAAACUAUCAACUUGAAAACCAAGUUUCUUGUAUAGAGUCAUAGCUGCAGUCCUCAGGGGAUCAACGUGCAGUGAUAUACGUUGAACCUUUCUCUCUUUGCAUUUCUCAAUUGCUGCUUUAAGCAAUGCCUCUCCAUGACCUUGCCUUCUAUAGUUCUCCUUCACUGUUUUAUACUUGCCAUUUACAAAGAAAAACACCCAUGUAAGAAAUCAAGUCCUGGCCAAUCAGAUAACAAGAAAAAGAAAUUAUACUAAAUGGAUUUUAGUGGGUUUUGCCUAAUCAAUCCCUCUAUUCAGAGAAAAGAAAACCAUGCCUCUUUGAGUACUUUCAUCAAACAGGUUAUGGGUUUGUUAAACAGCAAAAAGAGAAAAAUACAACCCGAAAACAAUGAGGAGAGAGGAAGAAAUAAGUAAUGGGUAUUGAAACCUGCAAGUUUUGUGAUAGAAGCACACAAAGAAGAGGGCCAGGAAUACAUGACAUAGCCAGCAACUUCUCCAUUUAGUUCUGUAUAUAGAAGCCCUGAAUUCUUCUUUCUAAGCUCUUCAUCAAAUGAUCUAGCAAGUGAUUCAUGUUUCGGGAAGAUCUUUCUUUCUAUCUUCACAAUCUCUCCCACAACGUUGGCCCAGUUGGUUGACUUUUUUUGCAACUCCACUAUGACCUCACUCCCCAUGCUUCAGGUGAUAUUUUGCUCUUGGGUUCCGCUGGGACAAAUUGUUGUCUCGGUUUUAACUUAAAAUAAUCGUUUAAUUUAAAACCUAGCACAAAUCAGACCUCUUGAUUAACAUGCUCGAUAUUGCCAAAUUUAAUAACAAUGCUUUAAAUAAAAAUGUGGAUAUGAUAGCAGGUCGUAUGCAUUGCAUAGGUGGCCUGCUAUGUGACAUGACAUGGACUUUGUUAAAUUUUUUCAAACAUAAAAAAAAAAAAAAAACCUCAAGCAAUGAUAAUAUUUUAAAAAAAAGUAAGAGAAAUUUAGGAUUUGAAUAGAUUUAAUAAACUUGUUUGAUUUAAUAAUAUGAUUAUAUAAAAAAAAGCUAGUGACAAUUAAAAAAACAAAGAAAACAAAAAAUAAUGACUAAUAAAAAAAAUUAAUGCUUGCAAAUAUUAAAAAAAUACUCUUUAAAUAUUCUUAAAAAGUCUCAAUAAUCUUAUUCAAUAACAAAAUAAAAAUUAAAAGAGAAUGAAACAACCUCAUAAAAAAAAAAAAAACUCAAUUACUAGCAAAUCAGAUAUUGAAUUAGAAAAAAAUCAAUUUUAAACAGGAUAAAAAUCUUGACUCUAGUUAGCAUAACAAACUCAUAGCCUACUUGUGAGGUCAAAAUAACCACAUAUAAAUUUUUUUGAAUAAAACAAGUUAACUCUCAAGCAAACUAAAUAAUAAAAGACGAAACUGAACAUUAAUCAAUAAAAAAUGUCAAGAAAAACCCAAAUAAACUUGGAUUAACUCGACUAACUUAUGGCUCGAGAUAUGAGAUUUGGAUAACCCAUAGAAAAAAAAAUGACAAUAAUCACGAAGCUAAAGGCCUAAUAACUUAAUGUCGAAUGAUGAAAUUGAAAACAAUAUUAUUUUUUUAAAAAAAAGAACCUAAAAAACAUCAAAGUCAAAUUAAGCUAAUUUUCAAAACCCGUGACCCGGGUCAAGAGACUAGGUUACCCCGAUAAUACAAACCUAAAAAAAUCAUAAAGUAAAAUUUCCAAUCAUCCAAAAUUAAAAAAUAAAAACAAAUAGAAAUCAAAAGAAUGAGGACCAAAUCUGGUAUAAAUAUUAAAUGAAAUAAAACAAUGAAUUUGAGUGCAUUAAUUUCUUCGUUGAAAGCAAUAGGAUCAACUUAUUUUGAGUGCAUUAAUUUCUUGUUUUUCAAUGGAUGUGCUGCAUCUUGUUGUCGAUUGUUAGUCCUCUUAUUGUGUUUGGCGUACUAUUGAGUAAGCUCUCGCUUCCCCAUCUAAUUCUUGCAUUAUACAACUUCUUGGUCCUUUCAAAAUCUUUGGCAAGGUGAUGCUUCGGUUGCUAUAUAUAUGCAGAAGGAAAUAUCAUUAUUUGAUGAGUUAGCUGCUACUAGUCGACCAAUCUCUCUUGAAGAUUUCAAUUUAUAUGUGGUUCGUGGUCUUUGUUGCUACCCAAUUUUUGAUCCAUGUUUUUGAUAAAUUUUUAAAAAAAACCAAAAAUAGCAAAAAAAAAAAAACAAUGAAAACCCAAAAAAAUGCAUUUUUGAUAUAUUUGCAUUAUUUUUAGCAUUUUCAACGUCAUCUUAGAAAUAUUUUAACGCGUUAAUUUUACAAUCAUUGAUUUUCCUUGUUGAGUCGACGUUGAUAUUGCUCGCUUUCAAAAAUACAAAAAAAUAAGAAAAAAAUUCAAAAUUGACAAAAAAAUAAAGAAGUUGAGGGACCAAUGUGUUUUGGAGACCAAGCCACUUUGCCUAUAAAUAGAGGUCACAACACACAUAAAAAGUGGAAAAAAUUGUCAAGGGGGUAAUUUUGCACAUUUGAAAGCAAAAAAAAAAAAAAACCCCUAAUCCUAAACCCAUUUAAUCUUUCGCCCGCACCCCUUUCUAACAAAAAUCUAGAGAAACUAUUCUCCCCAUGGAUCAGAGUUGUCGCCUCCCUCUUUUGAAGCCAAAGACAAACCAGAAGAUCAAGGCAGCCACCCUUGAUCUCCCUCAUUCCUCUCUCAGCUAGCCAAACAUAUCUUCACCCCCUUUUGCUCUCCCUUCACUCUCUCGGCUACACACAGACCAGCCUUUCCCUCUGCAGCCAGACAACGACAGCAAAAGCCAACCAUUGCUGCCACCAACAGGAGUGAAGACCAUCCAGCAGCGACGGCCUGCUCCCCGAGCAACAACGUCUCAUUCCCCGCUAGCAGCAUCACAGACACGACCAGACUUGCUGCUACCCACUGACACAUGAGACCAGCCCCACAUCGGCUCCUUUCUUCCUCAGGCCAAACACAACGGCAGCCCCCACUGUCUUCUCUCAAUCCCACCGGGACAACAACACCAUAGCAACACCCUAGUGCCACCAUCAGCUCGAGUAUCGCCGAGGCCACCACUAGCAAUCCAAGCACGGCGUAACCGAGCCCGCCAACUAGAUCACCACUUCCAUCUCCGCUGGUCAGACCUGACAAAAUCCUAGCACUUGGCGAUCCCCUUGGUCUUGCCGCCACCUAAAACAAAGAAGAAUGGGAAAGAGAAAGAAAAGAGCAGAUAUGUAGAUAUAAGCAGAUCCAAAACAGAGAAGAAGAGAAAGAAAAACAGAUCUGUGAACAAGAAACAAAAACUAAAAUCAACUGCUUGCUGUGUUUUUUGGUGUUUUGCAGGUCAUCACCGACGAGGAAGGGAAGAGGGGAGGAAGUCGUUCUAGAUCGACCCCUCCCUUGGUUUUUUUCUUGCGGUGGCGCGUGAACCCACCGCUGCCAGUGGCGGUGGUGUGUGGAGAAGACGCGCCGCCACUGUUCCUGCGUUCCCAGAAGUCCUUCUCAACAAUUCCUGAAGUUUUUGGGACUUAUUGUGUAAUUUUUGAAUUGUAUUUGGUAUAUUUAAAUUUUUUGUUAUUUUGGAACAUGUAAAAAUGAUGUAUGUAAGUGUGAGUGUGUGAGUAAACAUACUAAAAGGUGAUGAAUGUGUGUUUGUAUUUUUUUAUGUAUGU
rnacentral:lncRNA from 1 species